CAGACACACCUGGACCACUGACUUUAAUGUGUGAUUGGGAGCAAAGCCUUGAGGAUGAUGUUUAUAGACAAUUGCCCAGAGAUCGCUUCAUUGGGACUUUUGCAUUUGAAAAGCACCAAGAUUAUGGUUAAGGUGACCCAUUCAUCCGUCACCACGGAGAUCUUUUAGGCAGUGAAAAUCCAAGACUUUCUGCAGAUUGAAAUAACCUUUAAGGCUUUCACCUGACUGUAGAACAGCCAUACAGGUUGCAUCAGGAGGCAGGAGGUUGCGUUGCCAGCUCAAAGCACACCUACAUGGCCAGACAUUAAGAUUCUACAGAAAAUGCUAAAAAUCACGAAUAAUCUGUACCUCAAGUGGGUUUGUUAGAACUGGACAUGUUAGUAGACAGUUUCUGUCAGUUUGUUCUGGUCAGCUGGAAUGUGUGCAAUGUAUCCAGAGCUUUCAGCUGGAUUUGCUGUACAUGGACUGAAUAGCUAGACAGCAUGACUAUGGUAUGUCUAUUCAGCAUUUCCUAACAACAUGGUACUUAUUAGAGAUCUGGGGUACAGCUGAUUUGGAAAAUUGCUGUGAACUUAUCAAGAUUGUUCUGGAUGUGGAUCAGACCUGUUAAAGCUGUUGUGCAGGCUGAGUAUACAGAAAGGCCAGAGAAAAGUGGAGAAAAAUCCAGAAUUUACUUGGGCUCAUUUCCACAGUGAAAAAAUAUAACUUGCCUGGAAUAAUGACUUUCUUCCCUCGAUAUCAGCUUCAACAAUUCCAUCUUGAGAUCAAUUUCAUUUCUCUGAAUUCAUUUUUACCUGCAGUGAAUUGUGUUUCGAUCUACAACUUAGAAAAGAAUAACAAAGAAGCCAGCAAUGAAUUCUGCUGUCUUCCAAACAUUGAAAUGAACAGAGAGCACAUUUCUAUCCUUAUGAAAGAUGUUUUAAUUUAUUUUUUCUUUCUUGUUUGUUAUUUUUGUUUGUUUGUUCUUUUCUUUUUUACUUUUCAGCUUAAACUUCAUUUUUCAGUGGGCAAUACCCAGUGGUAACUCUGUACAUUUUUAAUUGAACAUGAAAGUUGCUAUUCGUUCACACUUCACUACUGAAAGGGGCAAAAGGGAGGCAGCUGAGAAAUUACCGUGUUUAUGAUGCAUUGCUAAUGUGAAAUGCCAUUCUCUAGCAGUUUUCUUAAGCUCUGUGCUUUGUCUGGGCCAUUUCUAAGUUCUUCCAUGGGAUGAGUCCUGUGCUGCUGUAGUGCCAACACCAACUAUGCUUACACUGAGGUAUCUCAGACAUUUGGAAACCUGGAAUUUCCAAAUGCAAACAUUUUUGGGCCUGGAUCUGAUAUGAGUGACCUUCAUAUUUGGGAGGAAAGGGGAAUGGUUAUGGUAGCAGCUUAAGAUGUCAUUUGCAAUUGUACAGGCAUCUGUACUCAAAGUUGUACAUUUGGUUAUUGAUAGGGAAAAUCCAGCCCUCUUAUAAGUGCCCUCUGGAUUUAAUGAGGAGACAAAUCAAGCACAUGCAAGCUGUAGUGCUUAUAGCUUUAGGUGUGUCCUAAAGCAGCAUGGUUGGAAGAAACUACUUCUAAAGGAGCACUGUACAGAGGUCUAGGCUCAGUUACUAAGGCUACAGUAAGUCCUAAGCACUGCCACCUCACUUUAAAGCCCUGAAGCCGAAGAGUUUAUAACUUCUGGUGUAGGAGUAGAGUACCUUUAUGAGGGAUGUGGUGCUACUGCAGCUGAUGCCUGUCUAAAUUGGAGUCAUUGCAGUGCUGGUUUUGGAUCUGAAGCUUCUUUCUGUUUCAGGAAUCAUUGAUAUUCAUGUAACUGGACAGUUACCAGCCACAAACAGGACAGUCUCUUUUUCCUUAGUUUUCUAUAAACUCCUUUUGCUGUCCCACAGCAUAACCAUGUUGGUACCAGUGGAAGCAGAAGGCUGGAGGUUAAGGCUGUUCAUCUUGAAAGGGAAGCCCAAAUUAAAAAGACAGUGGUUGCCUUCUAGAUUGUGACACACUUGAUGCUCUUCUUAUUACAGUGUUGAGUUUGGAGUAGUCAUGAACUUCUGAUCCCCCUCCCCAGUCCAGAGCAUUUCUACUGUACCCCGCCCUGGAAACAAGUGUGGAUGUGGACAGGGACUUGGGGAAGACUGACUUGCCUCUUUGUGUUGCCUGCAAAUUCUGUUCAAGAAGGACAAGUAUUUACUGGGCUCCUGUUAGAAAUGCUUGUUGGAGGUGACGGUGAAAAUUUCACACUUAGUUUGGCAGUGGAUCUCAUGCCUAUUGCCCUUUUGGAAAUGCAGACAUGUUCAAGAAUGAAGUAGCUGUUAUUUUCUUCUCGAGGCAGAAACUGUAAGGCACCUAGCAUCAGCACAGCUAUUUAGGCCAUUCGUGCUGAGCUGCACCGUCCACACAGUGAUAUCACUUUGGGCAGCCUUAUGCAGUAAGGACUGCAAUAAGGUGUGAAAUAAAGAUUUAGUGGCAUAACUUUCCAAAUGCAGUCUCACAAAGGAGUUCAUUACAGUUCCAUUAAAACAGUAGAGUUAACAUUAAAACAGACGAGAAAUGAAAAGAAAAAAUUAAGGUUCCUGCAGCAGCAUUAAGUCAGUCACACUGCCCAACUAACAUUUACUGUUUCUUGCUCUGGGUCAGAUUGUACAACCAUCACUGUUGGCACGGUUGCCUGACUAUAGCCAUAGGAUCUGCAUGUCUUGAAAGCUGUCAGCCCAUAGGAUUAGGAGCUCUGCCUAAGUGGAAGAGACUUUGCUCAGAUUGGUGAACACCAUCCAUCUUUCACAGUCCCCAGCUCACAGUAUGGCUGGGAGGUGUGGAGUGCAAGGAACUUAAUUGGGUCAAACAUUUCAAUUUGUAUCAGAAAGCCAUUUAAAAAGGAAAGUGCUGCUUGUGUAUCUCUGAGGGCAUCCACUUUGCUCCCGUCAGUGCUGGCUCUCCUAUUGAUUUCUAAGUGCUUUCAGUCUUGGCCUCCAGCAGAUCUAGAAGGACACUUCUUUUUCCAGGGAGCCAUGAUUUAUUUUCACAUAAACAUCUUGAUUUGUCUGAAGGUACUGAGGAAUUUUAAUUAUUAUUCUCCCUUGAAAAUAUAGCAGGGAAGAUGUUUUGAAAUGAAGAAAGCAUUCUUUUUGUUUAUUUUCUGAGCUGUGACACAUUUUCAGAGCCAACAUGCAGAAAUGUCAUCAGUUCUGUGUAAAGAUAGGUUGAAAAGAAGU